rnacentral:rRNA from 1 species
UACGUAGGGGGCUAGCGUUGUCCGGAAUCAUUGGGCGUAAAGAGCGUGUAGGCGGCCCGGUAAGUCCGCUGUGAAAGUCGGGGGCUCAACCCUCGAAUGCCGGUGGAUACUGUCGGGCUAGAGUGCGGAAGAGGCGAGUGGAAUUCCUGGUGUAGCGGUGAAAUGCGUAGAUAUCUGGAGGAACACCGGUGGCGAAGGCGGCAUUCUGGACCGAAACUGACGCUGAGGCGCGAAAGCCAGGGGAGCAAACGGG